rnacentral:rRNA from 1 species
UACGUAGGGGGCAAGCGUUGUCCGGAAUUAUUGGGCGUAAAGAGCGCGUAGGCGGUCCGAUAAGUCGGCUGUGAAAGUCAGGGGCUCAACCCUUGAAAGCCGGCCGAUACUGUCGGACUAGAGUCCGGAAGAGGCAAGUGGAAUUCCUGGUGUAGCGGUGAAAUGCGCAGAUAUCAGGAGGAACACCAGCGGCGAAGGCGGCGCUCUGGGCUGGAACUGACGCUGAGGAGCGAAAGCGUGGGGAGCGAACAGG